UGAGUAACACGUAUGCAACCAACCCAUAACAGGGGGAUAACCCGGAGAAAUCCGGACUAAUACCGCAUAAGACCACGAUAUCGCAUGAUAUAGAGGUCAAAUAUUUAUAGGUUAUGGGACGGGCAUGCGUCUGAUUAGCUGGUGGCGGGUAACGGCCCACCAAGGCAUCGAUCAGUAGGGGUUCUGAGAGGAAGGUCCCCCACAUUGGAACUGAGACACGGUCCAAACUCCUACGGGAGGCAGCAGUGAGGAAUAUUGGUCAAUGGGCGAAAGCCUGAACCAGCCAUGUCGCGUGAAGGAAUGAAGGUCCUAUGGAUUGUAAACUUCUUUUGCAGGAGGGUAAAGUGAGCUACGUGUAGUUCAUUGCAAGUACCCUGCGAAUAAGCAUCGGCUAACUCCGUGCCAGCAGCCGC
rnacentral:rRNA from 1 species